rnacentral:rRNA from 1 species
GACGAACGCUGGCGGCGUGCUUAACACAUGCAAGUCGAACGGAAAGGCCCUGCUUUUGUGGGUUGCUCGAGUGGCGAACGGGUGAUUAACACGUGAGUAACCUGCCCUUGACUUUGUGAUAACUUCAGGAAACUGGGGCUCAUACCGGAUAGGAGCUCCUGCUGCAUGGUGGGGGUUGGAAAGUUUCGGCGGUUGGGGAUGGACUCGCGGCUUAUCAGCUUGUUGGUGGGGUAGUGGCUUACCAAGGCUUUGACGGGUAGCCGGCCUGAGAGGGUGACCGGCCACAUUGGGACUGAGAUACGGCCCAGACUCCUACGGGAGGCAGCAGUGGGGAAUAUUGCACAAUGGGCGGAAGCCUGAUGCAGCAACGCCGCGUGCGGGAUGACGGCCUUCGGGUUGUAAACCGCUUUCGCCUGUGACGAAGCGUGAGUGACGGUAAUGGGUAAAGAAGCACCGGCUAACUACGUG